AUUGAACGCUGGCGGCAUGCCUUACACAUGCAAGUCGAGCGGCAGCGCGGGGGCAACCCUGGCGGCGAGCGGCGAACGGGUGAGUAAUACAUCGGAACGUGUCCUGUCGUGGGGGAUAACCAGUCGAAAGACUGGCUAAUACCGCAUGAGACCGAACGAUGAAAGCGGGGGACCGCAAGGCCUCGCGCGAUUGGAGCGGCCGAUGUCGGAUUAGCUAGUUGGCGGGGUAAAAGCCCACCAAGGCGACGAUCCGUAGCUGGUUUGAGAGAACGACCAGCCACACUGGGACUGAGACACGGCCCAGACUCCUACGGGAGGCAGCAGUGGGGAAUUUUGGACAAUGGGGGCAACCCUGAUCCAGCCAUGCCGCGUGUGUGAAGAAGGCCUUCGGGUUGUAAAGCACUUUCGGCCGGAACGAAAUCGCGCGGAUUAAUAACCCGCGUGGAUGACGGUACCGGAAGAAGAAGCACCGGCUAACUACGUGCCAGCCGCCGCUGUAACAC
rnacentral:rRNA from 1 species